rnacentral:rRNA from 1 species
AGUGAACGCUGGCGGUAGGCCUAACACAUGCAAGUCGAACGGCAGCACAGUAAGAGCUUGCUCUUACGGGUGGCGAGUGGCGGACGGGUGAGGAAUACAUCGGAAUCUACUUUUUCGUGGGGGUUAACGUAGGGAAACUUACGCUAAUACCGCAUACGACCUACGGGUGAAAGCAGGGGAUCUUCGGACCUUGCGCGAUUGAAUGACCCGAUGUCGGAUUAGCUAGUUGGUGGGGUAAAGGCCCACCAAGGCGACGAGCCGUAGCUGGUCUGAGAGGAUGAUCAGCCACACUGGAACUGAGACACGGUCCAGACUCCUACGGGAGGCAGCAGUGGGGAAUAUUGGACAAUGGGCGCAAGCCUGAUCCAGCCAUACCGCGUGGGUGAAGAAGGCCUUCGGGUUGUAAAGCCCUUUUGUUGGGAAAGAAAAGCAGCAGGUUAAUACCCCGCUGUUCUGACGGUACCCAAAGAAUAAGCACCGGCUAACUUCGUG